AAUGACUAUCAUGUAUAAAUAUUAAUUUUCAUACGAGUAAGUCCUUUUGUUUAGCUUCAGCAAGAGGAAAAAGAAAUGAAAGCAAGCAUGCUAAAUCGUAGGCUUGGAGACUUACCAAUGAAAUACCUGGGGAUACAUGUGUCUUAUAAUGUGUUAGGCAUACGGGCCUUUUAGGGUAUGUCUGACAAGAUAAUGAAAAGAUUGGAUCCAUAGAAAGGGAAGUGGAUGACUUCUGGAGGUAACUGCAUCCUCACAAAUUCUUGUCCAAGCAAUCUUCCAAAGUAUAUCGUUAGGAAGGACUUGGGAGAUUCCUCUAAGACGAAGUUUGCAAGGGAAAGAUAUUUUGGAAUGAGAGGAACUGCUGGAUCUGUUAAGUAAUGUCCAGUUAAAUGUUUUGGAACAGGAGGUACUUGAAUGUUCAUCCUUGUAUAUGUGCUAAUCUGCAAAUGCAAAAUUCCUCUGAAGAUUAAAUUAUUCUUAUGGCAUGUUUUCCAUAAUAAACUACAAAUAGUUGCCACCCUAAAAAUAAAUGGGGUGGGAGCACUUUAUGUUGUGUAUAAGCCUGAAAACGGUUAAGCAUAUCCUUUCCAAGUGCGUUUUUGCUCAAUAUGUUUGGUGUUGUACCAGGGAUGCUUUUGAUUUACAGGGCUUUCCAACAUCUACCUGAGAUAUUCUUGUAUGCCUACUCAUCUAGCCUCUCUAAAAACUUUGACCUCAUUAAUCUCAUGAUUGUCAUCAUCAGCAUUUAAAGAAACAGACGUCGUAUCAUGACCAUUAUAGAUGUACUUGUAAAGGUAUUUCUUUAAAUGGUGCUAAUGACAACUAUGAGAUUAAUGAGAUCCUAGAUGAGUAGGCCUACAAGAGGCUUUAAGGAGAAUCUAUGGGUUUGGUCUUAAUGGUAUCUUACCCUAGUGCAGCAACUACAACUUCACCUUCCAGGUGUAGCGUUUUGAAUGCGCAGGGAGUGGAAAAGGCGAUGUUAACUGAGUUUUUAAGGCAAAUUUUUAAGAUGCACAAGGAGUUUGGAAUCCUGCGUCGAAAAAUGAACACCUAAAACACACAAGUUGGUCGGAUCAUCUUAGUAUAUCCUAUCAAAGGGGAGACAUUAUCUAAGAGUGGUAAUAAACCACGUGUGAGGUCCACCUCAUAUGAGUAUCUAAGGACAGUUGAAGGAACCAAGGUCAUAUCAUCUAGACCUAAGUAUGGGCCACCCGAUCCGGUCGACCCACCCGAAAAAUACCUUACCUAGUCGGGCCGGGCCAAUGUGUUGGGCGGGCUCGGGCUUGGGGCAAAAAUUAAACCUGUGGGCCUUACCUGGUCCUCUUCUCUUUGAUCCCGACUCGGCAGCCGCCACGCGACUCACGCCGCCGCAAGUGUAGAUCCCCCCAUGCCCCAGCCGUCAACAUCCUCCAGGAGCACAGGCACAACCACACAGCUUGCUGACCACCGCCUGACGACAUCUCCAUCAGCAUCAGGCGUCAGCAGGUAAUCUGCAAGACUCCGUCCACCACUACUAGUACUGCUUUGCGUUCUAAAAUAUGAACUUUUGAUAGCAAAUAGCAUUUACGUUCUAGAAUCUAGAUAGCUAGUAGUACUUAGUCGUACUUACGUUCUGCAUAUCUAGGUACUAGCUUUAGAUAUUAAAAUAAUUUAUUUAUUUGGAGUUGGCAGACUGCUCACUUAUACGUUUUUGCCUAUUUAUUAUUAGAUUGGCCAUUGGUCAUUUGCUUCAAGACAUGGCAAGCAACAGCUGGAGUGAAGAGGAGGAAGAGAUCCAAGAGGUCAAUGCUCAAGCAAAUUCAGAGCAGCAGCAUGAUGGAGCCGUAGAGCCAGAUGUUAUUGUGACUGUGUGAGACUGAGGUUCAAUUUCUAAUGUGUGACAGUAUGAGACUGAAGAUGUUAUUGUAAAUUUGUUAUUUCUGAACUCAUUGUACCAUGUAAUCAUCUCUGUUGUUCUGAGCUGUAGUAAAAUCAAUAUUAUAUUAUAUUACUUGAUGGCAUUAGCCAUGUACCCCCUCCAGUCUGCACUGUGCAGACAUGCACACAGGCGGGCUCGGGCCAUGAUUAUGUAUUUUCUAUCGGGCUACGGGCGGUUUGGAGCCAAAGUGUUUUCAUGUUGGGUUUUGUGUGGCCCGGCCCGACCCGGUAAAUGAUCAGGUCUAAUAUCAUCCAUAUAUCGUCGUGUCAUAUCUUUUCCACUACUGAUAAAUGGUGUCGGUAGAACUAAUCUUUUGCCCAAGACACACAUUUGGUUUUUUGCUUGGUAUAGAUCUACCUGUAUUUUUGCUUGAAUAUUGAGUCAAUACUUUUAUACAGAUAGGUCACCAUUGAGAUCGGACACAACGACUGUACAAAUAGAGCACACAUCAUUGUUACUAAGUUUUCUAUGAUACAUAAUUAACUAAGUAUAUAUUGUCACAAGCUAAAACACAUCGUCAUCUCCUAUCUUUCAAUCCGGUAUCACAGUUGGCAAAUAAUCUCAUUUGAUUUCUAGAAAAUUGUUGACAAAACAAGUCCUUGGAUUUUUUUAUCAACGAGCGUCGAAUUAUUGUAAUUCAGAACAUGAUUUCUAAGAACACGAUUAUUUUGAACUAUAUCAUUUUAAUUUUUAACGAUUUUGUAAUAACCACUCACUCUUCAGUCCGUGUGUAGUAUGAUGAUCUGGGUUGAAAUAAACGUUGUUGUGGUCCGAGCUUUUGAACCAUCCUUUAUUACGAUGAAAGAGUUACAACAAUAAUAUAUGUGAUUACUAAACAUAAAAAUUAAGUAAAUGUUAAAAGAUUUUAGCUAGAGAAUAAAUUAAUGUGUCUCUUGUUACGUCACAACAUAGUUCCAAUAAUUAUGCUCUUGUUAACUUUAGCUAACUCUGAACGCAGAACAUUUUUUUUGCAAGAGGUCAGACCAUACUCUCACGAUGAUUAGAUUCAAUGUUUUUUAAAAACUGUCGUUAUGUAAAGUCUUCCACCGAUAUGCUCUAAUGACUCCAAAUGAAAAACUUUGCCAACAAUAUCUGCAAUAUCUGCAUGCUUGCUUAGUUAAAUUUAAAUAAAUUUUUUGCUUCUAUCAAUAUGAUUAUAAACCACAUAAAAGGAAGGGUCAUUAUCUAGAAAUGUCUCAUUAUAUAUUUGGAUGACCUCAUAAAAUAGUAUAAGAUGAUCUAGAUAGGGAGGAAAUUGUAUUAGAAUGAUGAAUGGCUCCAUAUUAGUACAUUUCCGCAAUUUCAACUAUAUACUAUGCUUAAUAUUCUGAAAGUUAAGAUCGCCGAAUUUGGAUCGAACAACACUCUUUUCAAUAUGUAUAGAGUGUCGUCCGGUCUAAACUAGCAGAUCUUAACUUUUGAAAUAUUAGGCAUAGUCUAGGGUUGACAUUAGGAAGACGUAUUACCGUGGAGCCAUUUACCAUGCAAAUUCAAUUUUCUCUCUAUCUAAAGCAUCUUAUAACAUUGCAUGAGAUGGUCCAACAAUAUAAUAUGACGUUCGUAGUUAACGACCCUAACUUCUAUGUGGUUUAUACUCAUAUAAAGAGAGAAGCAUAUAAAUUAUUUAAAUUUAACUAAGCAUGUGAAUUUUGCAUACAUUACUGGUAUAGUUCUUCAUUUGAAUCCAUUAAAGCAUAUCAGUGAAAUGUCGUACAGAGAGACCACACUAAUUGAUUUGAGGUCACACUAAUACAUAACUAUAUUUUUUUAAAAAAAAUUAAAAAUUUGUUAGCUUUUAUUCAAACAAUUAAGGUUUGAUUUAUUGGUCGAAUCAAACAUCAUGUGAGUAUGGUCUGACGUCUUGCAAAGAAAUGCUCUACGUUAGAAGUUAACUAAAGAUAAUAAUAACAUAAUUAUUAGAACUAUGUUUGCGGCGUAACAAAAAGACACAGUAUUUUAUCCUCUAACUAAAAUAUUUGAAUAUUUACUCAAUUUUCAUGUUUAUUAAUCUUAUACUAUAGGUCUAACUCUUUCAUUAUAACAAUAGGAUGCUUGGAAAGCUUAGACCACAACACCAUUCAUUUCAACCCAGAUCAUCACACUACACAUCGAUUGAAGAGUUAGUGGUUCUUAUAAAAUAGUUAAAAAAAUGAUAUAAUUUAAAAUAAUUAUUUUCUUAUUAAUCAUGUUCUAAAUUACAGCAGUUCGGCGCUCGUUGAUUCAAAAUCCAAGGACUCAUUUCAUCAACAAAAUUCAUGAAAACAGAUGGGCUUAUUUGGCAAUUGUGAUACCAGAUUGAGACAUGUUAUAGCUUGUGAUAAUAUAGACUUUGUUGGUUAUGUAUUAGUGAAAACUUAGUAACAAUAAUGUGUGCUCUAUUUGUAUUGGUCGUUGCGUCCGAUCACAAUGGUGACCUCUGUACAAAACUAUAUAUUCAAUAACCAAGCAAAAAACAGAUAGAUCUAUAUCGAGGCUUAGUUGAUAGUUUGUUUGCAGGAGAAAACCAAGCGCGUGCCUUGGGUAAAAGAUUGGUUCUACCGAUGCCAUUUAUUGGUGGUGUAAGGGUUAUGAGACAAUGAUACAUGGAUGAUAUGACCUUGGCACAGAAGUAUGGAAAAUCAAACUACUUCCUCACCAUGACUUGUAAUCCAAAUUUGGAGGAAAUAACUAGGGAGCUUGAAACAAACCUAACUCCACUGGACCGAUCAGACAUUGUUGAGAGUAUUUAGAGCCAGCUAGAAGACCUCAAAGCAUCAGCUCUUCCAUAAACACAUUCUUGGAAUCUUGGCAGCACAAGUCCAUGUCAUUGAGUUCCUUCUUAUCAUGCAACACGGCUACAAGCUAACAUGCCCCAGAGCAAUACAACAUUAUUUCCGAGAAAAAAUUUGCAACCUAAGUUUCCAAACUAGGUAGCCCUAAACAGGAACUUUUUCACACAGGCUUGCAAAGAACACAAUACCAACACCAUGUUUGCUGAACAGUCUGACUUGGAACACACAGACUUGCUAAAUUUCCUAUUCCCAAUCCCCCAUUACCCCAUGAUUAGUUCGCCCAAAAGAAAACCAGGAAAAAAACUCUACCAUCACCAUCUAACAAAAUGGCUACUACAAUACUAUCACUAGCAGAAAUGGAUUCUAACAGAACAUCAUCACCAUGUUUGCUAAAAUUACAGAGAGGGUUUGAACAUCAGAACAUGCUAAAUCGCCUGUUCACCAUCAUCCAUUUGCGAUUGAGACAAUACGAGGUAAAUAAAUGCUACUACCAACGAUACAGCAAACUCUGAUCGGAUGAGAACAUGACGAGUCUGUGAUCGCUUACCGAAAAUAACAUCACUAAUUGGUGCCACGCUGGUGCUAGCGAUGGAUCCAAUCCAACGAAUAACUCCAUUCCCCAAAACAAAGACUACCAUGGCAUCACCACGACGAAAAACCCUGAUCCUACCGGCCUACCGGGUACAAGUUACUACAACUAUGGACCAGAAGAAAUCGCCAAGCAAGAGAAAUCAUGCGAGCACAUCAUAGAACGAACGGGAUAUCGAUAAGAUCACAAGAGGAGAGGGGUCGGCGCGCAAGCGACAUUGCCGGGCCGCGCUUCUGGUUGAAGUAGUUCUUGAGGCAGAUCCAGUGCUUCUGCGCGGGUACCCCUUGAUCUGGUUGAAGUAAGUCCUUGGCGGUCUCCGAUCCAGGAACGUCGCCUCCUCCCCCACCGUAUUGUGCGGGAUGGAAGGCACUUCGGAAAACUAGUGGUGUGAUUGUGUGAAUGGAGAAACGGAAGCUUUGGCUGGGUAAUGGUGCCGGUGAGUCAGGUUUUAUAGGCAGGCGGCC
rnacentral:lncRNA from 1 species